rnacentral:rRNA from 1 species
UACGGAGGGUGCGAGCGUUGUCCGGAAUCACUGGGCGUAAAGAGCGCGCAGGCGGUCGUUCAAGUCGAGUGUGAAAGCCCCCGGCUCAACUGGGGAGGGUCACUCGAUACUGAUCGACUUGAAGGCAGGAGAGGGAAGCGGAAUUCCCGGUGUAGUGGUGAAAUGCGUAGAUAUCGGGAGGAACACCAGUGGCGAAGGCGGCUUCCUGGCCUGUUCUUGACGCUGAGGCGCGAAAGCGUGGGGGAGCAAACAGGG